AUGCAGUCGAACGGUGUCUUCGGACACAGUGGCGGACGGGUGAGUAACGCGUGAGAAUCUGCCUCUAGGUUGGGGACAACAGUUGGAAACGACUGCUAAUACCCGAUGUGCCGUAAGGUAAAAGAUUUAUUGCCUGGAGAGGAGCUCGCGUCUGAUUAGCUAGUUGGUGGGGUAAAAGCCCACCAAGGCAGCGAUCAGUAGCUGGUCUGAGAGGAUGAGCAGCCACACUGGGACUGAGACACGGCCCAGACUCCUACGGGAGGCAGCAGUGGGGAAUUUUCCGCAAUGGGCGAAAGCCUGACGGAGCAAUACCGCGUGAGGGAGGAAGGCCUUUGGGUUGUAAACCUCUUUUCUCAGGGAAGAAGAUCUGACGGUACCUGAGGAAUAAGCAUCGGCUAACUCCAUGCCAGCAGCCGCGGUAAUACGGAGGAUGCAAGCGUUAUCCGGAAUCAUUGGGCGUAAAGCGUCCGCAGGUGGUUUUUCAAGUCUGCUGUUAAAGACUGGAGCUCAACUCCGGAAAGGCAGUGGAAACUGGAAGACUAGAGUUCGGUAGGGGUAGCGGGAAUUCCCAGUGUAGCGGUGAAAUGCGUAGAUAUUGGGAAGAACAUCGGUGGCGAAGGCGCGCUACUGGACCGAAACUGACACUCAGGGACGAAAGCUAGGGGAGCGAAAGGGAUUAGAUACCCCUGUAGUCCUAGCUGUAAACGAUGGAAACUAGGUGUGGCUUGUAUCGACCCGAGCCGUGCCGUAGCUAACGCGUUAAGUUUCCCGCCUGGGGAGUACGCACGCAAGUGUGAAACUCAAAGGAAUUGACGGGGGCCCGCACAAGCGGUGGAGUAUGUGGUUUAAUU
rnacentral:rRNA from 1 species